CACAAAUCGAAGUGAUCCCUUGCAAGAUCUGUGGGGACAAGUCAUCUGGCAUCCACUACGGGGUUAUCACCUGUGAGGGGUGCAAGGGCUUCUUCCGCCGCAGCCAGCAGUGCAAUGUGGCCUACUCCUGCACCCGUCAGCAGAACUGCCCCAUUGACCGAACCAGCCGCAACCGAUGCCAGCACUGCCGCCUGCAGAAGUGCCUGGCUCUGGGCAUGUCCAGAGAUGGUGAGGAUGUGGUGGCAGCCCCAAAGAGACCCUGCACUUUCAGAGGCGUCCUGACUCUUGCCCGACAGGCUUGCAAAAACACUCUGCCAGGGACUUCUCUCCGUUCUUCCACCCACAGCCUCUUGUCCUGUCUUUUUGAGGGUCCCUCGAGGCACUUCAGAGUCUCAACUUCAGGCUGUGCUCCAAAAGACCUUUACCAGCAUCCUAUUACUCUUGUCUCCCCUUUCUCUAAUGAAUUCUCCUCUCUA
rnacentral:lncRNA from 1 species